rnacentral:rRNA from 1 species
GACGAACCGUGCGAACGUUAUUCGGAAUCACUGGGCGUAAAGCGCGCGUAGGCGGCUUUUCAAGUCAGGGGUGAAAUCCCACGGCUCAACCGUGGAAUUGCCUUUGAAACUGUGAAGCUAGAGUGUCGGAGGGGAUAGCGGAAUUGCUAAUGUAGAGGUGAAAUUCGUAGAUAUUAGCAGGAACACCGGUGGCGAAGGCGGCUAUCUGGACGACAACUGACGCUGAGGCGCGAAAGCGUGGGGAUCAAACAGG